GGCUUGCUGCCGAAGAGCUAAAAACUUCAAAACACAGGAGAGGAAUGAUAGUCCGGUUGGUGAUUGCUGCAACCAUCUUCGCCGCUUUGUCUCUGUUUGCAAUUAUUUGCAUGUUUUUCAGGAGACGGAAAAGGCAGCAUUCAUCUAUGGAACCAAGCAACAUCAGAGGAGGAAUCAUGGCUUUUGGAUACAAAGAUUUGCAACAUGCAACAAAAAACUUCUCAGAAAAAUUAGGAGGUGGUAGUUUUGGAUCUGUGUUUAAGGGUGUUUUACCUGACUCAACUGUCAUUGCAGUUAAAAGACUUGAUGGUGCUCGUCAAGGAGAGAAGGAAUUCAGGGCAGAAGUGAGUUCGAU
rnacentral:lncRNA from 1 species